GAUGAACGCUGGCGGCGUGCCUAAUACAUGCAAGUCGAGCGAACGGACGAGAAGCUUGCUUCUCUGAUGUUAGCGGCGGACGGGUGAGUAACACGUGGAUAACCUACCUAUAAGACUGGGAUAACUUCGGGAAACCGGAGCUAAUACCGGAUAAUAUUUUGAACCGCAUGGUUCAAAAGUGAAAGACGGUCUUGCUGUCACUUAUAGAUGGAUCCGCGCUGCAUUAGCUAGUUGGGAAGGUAACGGCUUACCAAGGCAACGGUGAAUAGCCGACCUGAGAGGGAGAUCGGCCACCCUGGAACUGAGACACGGUCCAGACUCCUACGGGAGGCAGCAGUAGGGAAUCUUCCGCAAGGGGCGAAAGCCUGACGGAGCAACGCCGCGUGAGUGAUGAAGGUCUUCGGAUCGUAAAACUCUGUUAUUAGGGAAGAACAUAUGUGUAAGUAACUGUGCACAUCUUGACGGUACCUAAUCAGAAAGCCACGGCUAACUACGUG
rnacentral:rRNA from 1 species